GGAGAGGUGUCAGAGUGGUCUAAUGUGUCUGAUUCGAAAUCAGAUGUCCUGAGAGGGACCGGGGGUUCGAAUCCCUCCCUCUCCG
rnacentral:tRNA from 1 species